CUAACUGGUGUAACUGGUGAACGAUGAGUGAGAGAGCGACAGAGAAAACGAAAUCGCGAGGACGGACCAUCGUCAUAGAUGAUCGAUGAGAUCUACUCCAACGGCGUGACGAAUGCCAGCAUCACAAGCCGAUCAUCAGAGAGAGAUAAUGGUGACGGUGGCGAUCAGUGGUGGACCUGAUGGUGGUGUGGCCGGAGAUGGCGAUGAAGGGGAUAGAGAUAGGUUGCAGAAAUCUGAGGAGGAGGAGGAAGCCCCAAGGGUUGGGUGUGGUUUCGUCCUUCUCCCUUCCAUUCCGAAAUACAAGCAAAGGACGGAGAAUAAGAAGGCCUGAUGAUGGAAGCCAUCAAAACAGAGGGCAUUUUACCCAUUGUGCACCCUCAUAGUUUCAGCGAAAAUCAUAGGAGAAGCCGAAACAAGCGUACAGGUGCUUUCGGUGGCAGUUUACAAUCACUAUAAGAGGAUCUGUAAUGACUCUUCAUAAAAGUGGAGUUAAACCUAGAGGAUUUAUGUCCGCUCCUUCAAUAGCGCUGGCAAUUGGAACAAAAUUUAUUCACUUGCCUAAGUGAAAAAGCCACCAGCUAUGGUUUUACUUUUACACAUUGAUUUGUUCCAUUUCCUAAACUAAACUUGUAACAGAAAUAUCAAGAUAACUGGUAUAUUUUCGGUCAUCGUAAACAAUAUAAAUGGUGCAUUUUCUGUUUGUUAUUCUUCUAUUUUGGCAUCCAUGUAGUUAACAGAAAAGUAAAAGAGUUUGACUCAACACUGACAUAAACUCCGCAAAGAAAAAAGUAAGUCAAUUUCUAUGGUUUGGUCCAAACGAAGGCUUAGUCAGUCAGCAAUGGCUUUAGACUUGAUACGGGUUGUGUUUGGGAUACAUGGAUGAUUGCCUUCUGUAGUAGAUGAAGCUCGUGACAAAUGUUGACAAAUUCUAUUUUAUUUUCGUUACAGGUUCCAGGGAAUCGUCUCAUCAAAAAGGUCUGAACAAACCCCGUUAAAAGAAAAGGCAAGCUUCUUUCAUUUUUCCCCUGUUUGACUAUUAUCGUUCUUGUACUUUGGCUUGCCUCUUUUGUUACUUUGUUCUAUAUUACAGCUCUCACUCCCUAUUAUAAUCUAGAUUACCAGGGAGUUCUCCUCGGACUGGAAUACUAGAUUUGCAAUGGUUGUUCUACACUUUACAUGUCGAUGGUAGUAUAUGAAACCUGCUUUGAAAUAGGGACAUUGUAGAAUAUAGGUGCAACCUAGACUUGCUGGGUGACCCCAACCAGUUAAACCAAGUAGUUUUUGUGGUGUGCUGGUCUAAUGAAUAUAUUAGUCGUAUCGUGAAUGGGAUUUCAAAUUAGGUUACAAGAUGAUUAUUGAAUGUCUCAAGUUGGUCCAAACUUCAAGAAGUGAUGAUUCGCUAUUUAUUAGUUGGAAAUCAUUAUUCUUUUUUCCUAAUGUUUUUUAUUAGAAGAUUGUGAAACGUAUGCAAUUAUCAUUGGUGAGGUGAUCAUUAGUGUCAUAUGCUGGAGGACUAGCUAUGUAGAGAAGGAAUUAGUGUGGAUAACUUUAUAUUUAUUAUGAACACAAUACUAGAAAGAAAAAGGUAGUAUGUACUGAUACUCUCCUUAUAACAUAGAUUUUGUGUGGUCUUUUUGUGUGCUAAGUUUUAUGUUGUGUAGUCAAAUACAUUUGUUGGGGUUGGCCCCCUCCCACUGAUUUUAGUUUAUUUAUACUGCUGGGGUCAAUUGUGGAUUGUAUAUUGCUUUCCUAAUUCAUUGUAACUACUGGAGGAGGGGCCGAGUUGUCAAUUCUUAAGUGCUGUGAAGAAUCUCACAAAUGAGUAUUCUGGUAAGAGUCAUUUUAUCUGUAGGGAUAUAUUUAGUUUCUCAGUCUAUUUUCAUAUCUUGCCAUGCUUCUAUGUUUUUUGUAUAACCUACGUGGUUUUGCUUUGUUACUUUGUAUGAGAUAUCAUGUAUAUUCUUGCAUUGAUUGCUUUGAAGAACUCAGAAAUGGGAAAGAAAGAAAAAUAGCUUUGGCUUGAGAAAUAUUUAUGGGUAAUGAAAAUUUUAAAAUGUGAAGGCUGCUAUUAAAGGAAUGCUCAUAAAGUGAUCCAUGACAUGACAAAGACAAACAAAAUCAAUUUAGUAAGUUGAAUACCCCUUUUCUCAACUUUUAAAGUUUACUAAAGUUUUUUUCCUCUCUCUCAAUGGUGUUUGUUGUCCAUAAAGAAGGGAUUGGAAAUGUUCUUCUCAAAGUGAGCACGUACAGAGUGAUCAAUGUUUAGGACCAUUGCCAUUUAUGCACAGGUUUGGAGCUUGUCAUAGUGGGAUCAAUUUCAUUGCAACUUACCCAUUUCUUGUGGGUCAUCUGCCAAGUUGGAGUUGAUUGCCAAACUUUUGAGGCUUUUUUGGUUUGUGAUUCUAUAUUUCUAGCAAAAAAGAGAGUAACUUCACAUUCCAUGGACUACUUGAAUGGUAAAAAUCAAGCAGUGCAUUUCUUCACGCAUUUAAGCAUCUUUUAAGUAAUGCAAUUAUGUUUUUCUCCUGAUCACAUCUGGAUUCUGAGUACCCUUUUGUGGUUUUUACACACCAAGUGCCAAACUACCUUUUUUUGCAUUUUGGGAUUGCAUUGUUUUCGUUCUACUUUGGAGUGUGAACUAUCUCAUGUUUUGUGGUCUUUUUCUUAGGUAUGGAUUUUCAUUUUCCCUUUGUGUAUAUUUUAUUUGCUCACAGGGUUAUGGAGUCAACUAGCGCAGCAAGUCGUGUCUUCAAUACAACCAAGUUUAAUUCAUAGCUAUUCUUUUGUGGGGCUUCUCGCUCCUUGUAUGGAAGCUUGAGUGGUAGAUUGGAUUACCGAUUCUUUCUUGCCUCCUAGGAGGAGUGAUGAUCUUUGUCCAAGAGGGUCUGCUAUUAUGAAAGGUAAGCAAAGGUUUUUCAAUAACAAGUGUUAUUCAAUCCAUGCAACAUCUCUAUUUUUCAGAUUGUAUUUUGACCGCAGCUUAUCCUUCUUUUUUGUUUUUGGCGUAAAUCAGCAUGUCCUCAAUAGCAUUUGUGUAUCCUUAAAAGAAUUAUGCUACAAGCAUUGAGUGUCGUUUGUAUUGUGGCCAUGCAAGUAUGCUGGUUUUUAAAGGGGCCCUUGAUAUAAUCCAUAACGAUAGAUUUAGAUCGUAGGUAUGAAUUUCUAGACAGUUCUUCAGAUUCAUGGAGAUAUUACUAGAGAAGAUGUACUUGAUCAUUGGGAAGAAGUGGGAGCAAGGGAGGAAUUAUUUUCCACCGCUUAACGUGAAGAAAAAGAGCUCAAUUCCUUCUAUUUCUAUCUCUUUAGAGUGAUUUGCUUUCUUUA